GUGCUUGCUUGAGCAGCACAUAUUCUAAAAUCGGAACAAUAUGUAGAAGAGUAGCAUGGUCCCCGUGGAAGGAUGACAUGCAAAUUCAUGAAGCAGUCCAUAUUAGA